GGUCUCCUCGGGGCGCAGCAGUGGGGGAUAUUGCACAAUGGGGGAAACCCUGAUGCAGCGACGCCGCGUGAGCGAUGAAGUAUUUCGGUAUGUAAAGCUCUAUCAGCAGGGAAGAAAAUGACGGUACCUGACUAAGAAGCCCCGGCUAACUACGUGCCAGCAGCCGCGGUAAUACGUAGGGGGCAAGCGUUAUCCGGAUUUACUGGGUGUAAAGGGAGCGUAGACGGCAGUGCAAGUCUGAAGUGGAAGGCAAGGGCUCAACCCUUGGACUGCUUUGGAAACUGUGCUGCUGGAGUGUCGGAGAG
rnacentral:rRNA from 1 species